CUGGUUGGGAAAUACCUUUUUGGGUGUUCACGUUGGUUCUCUAUGCAAAUCCUUAAACUGAUUAACUUAUAAAUUAUUUUCCAGCUUCUUUUAAGUGCUUAUUGAAAAGACUUUUAAUCUUGAGUUGAUUUUUUGCAGGUUACAAAGGUGAAACAACCCCUAUUUGAAGAAAGAAGUCUGCGCCAGCCCUAGGAAAUUGGAUUUUGGGGUGCUUUGAUUCAAACGACGGUUUUGGCAAUGGCUUUUAAAUGUCCUGCUUUCAAACUGUUGGAUUUGCAGCAACUUUCAAUUUUUCAAGUUCACUUUGAUGUAACGUUGGACUUUUGGAUAAUGUAAUAGCUUUUGGACAAAGGAUUUUUUUUUGCACUCUGAAUUAGGGUAUUUUUGCCUUCAACUUGCUGAAUGCAGCACAACAUUUAAUCAUUCCACUUCACUUUGUAUUUUUUGGAUAAAUGUAUUAACUUUGGAAUUGUUUGUAAUAUCUUAGACUUAAAAUUUGUUUAUGUAAUCAACUUUUAAACAUUCAAAUCUUA